rnacentral:lncRNA from 1 species
CUUAGCAACAACUCCCUUUAUUCUUACACCUCAAGGAUGGGCGUAAGACCCGGGCCUGGCCAGUUACAGCGUCCUGGUCCAGUGGGCAGGGAGCAUACGAAACAGUCUUCAGAAUCCCAGUCUAACACAUAGUGUGUUUGGCCUCAAGGUCCUUCAUUGGCUUUGCUUUAAGUUUCUUCUAUGUCCUUCUUGGGGUAAUAUUUUUAAUUCUUGGAACUGUUAAGAGGAUUCAUUAAAGCUAAGG